GUUGCUUUCCUGAUCUUGAUUUCCUUCUGUCUGGUCGCCAGCCACAGGCUUCAGGGUUCGCAUCCACAUCAGCACCCGCUGUUAAACCCUCUUCUCCACCAAUUCAAAAGCAAUUUCCCCUCCCCGUCUGCCAACUUCUGGACCCCUCUAGUGCCCUAGCCAGCUCCAAGGACUCGGCCUCAUCUCCUGUGGGAAAAGUAAAGGUUCCCUCCUCUAUUCUUGAAACCACUGAAGACCAAGACUAUGUAAGACGGAUCCUAGAAGCCCAGGACAGCACCGAAACUCUCUUGUGUAUUUGACCGAAUGGUUUUGGCCCUCAGCACACGGCAGGGAUUCUAAACUGCAGGCCAGCUGCCCUGAACCCGUAUCACCAUCUGCUGAAAUAACUUCCCAAAUGCCAGGCCUCACAGGAGAGAGACGGGCUGGGCCUUGGCCAGGCAGAGGCUCCCCAAGUAAGAGAACCGCUCCAAGAGGUUCCAAGUAAGAGGCUCUCCAAGUAAGAGAACUAGCAGGAUAAAGAGAUGGAGAAACUGAGGCCCAGAAGAUAGUGACUUGUCCAAAGUCAGUACAGCCCAGUCCUGCUGACCCCAAAGCCUUUGCUCUUAACUUUGGCUGCACACUGGAGUCACCCAUGUGUGGUGGUCAAAAAUACUGAUGCCAAGCUCUCCGCUCACACAGCAAUUCUGAUGUCAUUGGUUUCAGGUUCAGCCUGGGCAUCCGGACUUUUUAAAUCAUCCCUGAUGAUUCUAGUACACAGUGAAGGUGGAGAACUACCGACUUAACCAUUAUUUCUCAGUGUGGUCCUCACCACGGCUACCAUCACCUGAAGUGAUACAAAAAUGAGGAUUUCUAGGCCCCCUACAGGAUCCAUAAGUAAGCUUCUAUUUCAUGAUGGCUAAGCAUACACGGCCUCAUGUAAUUCACCCGACACUCCUAUGAGGUUGUAAAUUAUUCCCAUUUUACAGAUUAGGAAACUGAGCUCCACAGGGCUUUGGGAGUUGGCCUAGGCACUCCAUCUCACUGCCUCCCGAAGAGGAAAGAUCACACACCCUUUUAGGGUGGGGUUGGGGGUGUGAACAAGCCAGUGGAAACCAACAUGAGCAUCAGUGGCGUCCAGAAAGGAAGAGGAAGGGGUGAGGCUGGGAGGAACAGGUCCCUGCAGGCCUCUGAGUGCAGCCCGAGAAGAACGCUGAAGGAGGGACAGUAAAUCCCAGGAUUACCAGAACUCUGGGGAUUCAACACCUGGGGAGGAACCUAGAGCUUCAAGACCAGCCUGCUGGGGGCUGUCAAUCACAGCUUCCUCCUCCAGCUUCUAGAGGCCCCUAAGAAGGCACACCGGCAAAACUGGAACAAGUCAGUUAACAAAAACUGUCAAAAUCACUUCUAAACGAUGCCCGAAAAAAAUGUCAGGUUUUCAGAGAUCAGCAUAUUGACCAUGUCCAGCGAGAGCCCUGUGACACGCGAGAACUUCAAACCUUGAGAACUUACCUGUAAAAACCCCAGGAUUUAAUGCUUAUUCCUGACCCACUCAAAACUAGACACAAGCCAAACACAGACUCUGUACCAGAGGCUUACGUUCCAUCAGGAAAGGGUCCAAAACAGGAUACUUCAAAUUUGGCAUCCCUGUCGGAGAUUGCAGGAGGCAGUCAGGAAUGAGAGGUGACAAGAGACACAAGAAGUCACAUUCAGGGGACACCACAGCCAAGGGGCGAGACUCCAUUUUUUAAUAAAUA